rnacentral:tRNA from 1 species
UCCUGGUUAGCUCAGUUGGUAAAGCGCUCCACUUGAAAUGAAGAGGAGUCUGGUUUGAUACCAGGACCAGACG